rnacentral:tRNA from 1 species
ACUUAAAUAGCUUAUUUGAGAGUUUAAUAUUGAAGAUAUUAAGGUGAUAAUUUAUCUUUAGGUA